GACGAACUGUCCUAACGUUGUUCGGAAUCACUGGGCUUAAAGGGCGCGUAGGCGGUCCGCCAAGUCAGGGGUGAAAUCCUGCAGCUUAACUGUAGAAGUGCCUCUGAUACUGGCGGUCUUGAGGGAAAUAGGGGUGUGCGGAACUUCCAGUGGAGCGGUGAAAUGCGUUGAUAUUGGAAGGAACGCCGGAGGCGAAAGCGGCGCACUGGAUUUCUUCUGACGCUGAGGCGCGAAAGCUAGGGGAGCAAACGGG
rnacentral:rRNA from 2 species